rnacentral:tRNA from 1 species
GCCCAGGUGGCGAAAUGGCAGACGCGGCGGACUUAAAAUCCGCUACCCGAAUGGGUGUGGGGGUUCGAGUCCCUUCCUGGGCACCA